UGCAUUUGAAAAUAGAAUAUUAAAAUUUAGCUUAAGAUAAAAAUCAUAUUUCUUGAAGCGGCAUGCAUACGUAUAUACAGUUUUACUUUUAAUUUUAUGCGGGUAAAAUUAAAUCUGACAUAGAUGUCGCCAUUGUCUCAAAGAACGGUCGUGAAGAUAUCCGAAAAUCGAUUUGGAUUGUCAGUCAAGAUCUUCGAACAAUCGCUUUUUAAGUUUGUUUCGCAUGAUUCUCAUGAUAUCUUUGAACGUAAUUUCUAAAUACGAUUACAAAAUUUGACGUUACUAAAAUUUUGUAAUACUAAUUACUUGUCGUUCGUCAUAUAUUUGUUAAAUCGCAGCGCGUUUAAUAGGUGGUAUAUAAGUGUUUUGAAUUCGAAAGGAUAUUUGCAAAUACGCAGAAUAGAAAACUGCUUACAAUCAUGUCGCAACAAUACUUUAAGGGGUUAGGUUCAACGGUUUUGCGAGCGCGGGAAAAUUUGAAAAUUCAAUUAAAAUUGAAACAAAAUGGAUCCAAAUACCAUGAAUGGAAGCAAAAGAAUUUUUUAAAUAUAACUAUUUGAGCUGCAAGCGCUCGCAAAUACCCUGAAUAAAUUUUCAAUUCGAUCUCUUUUAUGCGUCAUGAAGAUAACUGUGAUUAAAAUACGCCCGAAAAUUGAUGCCUUUUAUCGUUCCAUAUUUGCAACCGUACAUGCGACAGUACCCUUAAUUCUACGAUUACCAAUUUCAGUAUAAAAUAUACAUUUAAGAGCGAUGAAAGAUAACAUUGACAUUGAAAUUGACGUAGCGUACAAGUGGGACGUUAUUCUUACCCUCGCCGGAACAAACACUCUCUUGGCAUACGUCGUUUUCAUUACAGAAUUUCCUGCAAAUUGGGCAGUAACGCUUUUGUGACAGUAUGCGUUUAUUUUGUUGUCAAUUAUUUCACGCGUAAGUAUGCAAACGUAACGAUCGAAUUACUUUCAAUUCGACGAUACGUCGUGCAAUUCGAAUAACAUUUGAAACGGCUCAAAAUUAUUUAAAAGCUCUUGAGAAACGAAUGUUCUUCGUAUACAUAAAAUACAAAAUCUAAAAUUGUGGAUGGCAAAACACAUACGUCGUUUAUAUAGUUCAAUUAUUCUCCGCGUGUUCUUUCUCUCUUCAUUCUUUUCUCUCGAUUCGUUUCAUUCGUUCGAUCUUCCAAAUACACUUUUAACAUACAACAAUGUACGGAAUGAAUUGAACAACGGUAUUUGUGAUGACGGACUACUAACGAAUAUCAAGUCCUAUAAUACCAACCGCUAAUAUUAUAGGUAGUUUUACGUUCAACCGAUCAUCAUAAUGACCCUACGAAGGUUACGCUUCUUCGACGCACGAGGACCAAUAAUUUGUGCAUUUAAAAAGUAUGAAAUUGUCCAGAAAAUAUAGAAGUUAUUAUUGGACGAUCUUAACCUGCGUCGAUUGAACUGCACGUUCCCCUUCCGGUUAAAAGGUAAAUCGACGAUCGACGAGGACAAUUCGCUUAACCAUAGAUGAUUAGAAAAACGGUACAAAUACGACAAGUCUUCUAACGAUUCGAAGAAACUGUAACCUUGCUCGUCGGAGAAGAACUAAAGAAGAUGGAACAAGAAUCUUGUCGCCGAGUAUCGUACAAACGAUGUAAAAAUUCGCGUUUAUUUUGUGUAAUAGUUAAUAGUUUACGAUUCGAGAGGUUCAUUCUAACACGCAUCGAUAGAAGUACGCCGAUCGUUAUCGUCUGUUGAAAAUGUUUCGGUGACUUGUCCUGAUUUCAACGUUUC
rnacentral:lncRNA from 1 species